rnacentral:rRNA from 1 species
UAAGGAAUAUUGGACAAUGGAGGCAACUCUGAUCCAGCCAUGCCGCGUGAAGGAAUAAGGCCCUAUGGGUUGUAAACUUCUUUUAGACGGGACAAAACCCCUUUACGUGUAAAGGGUUGAUGGUACUGUCAGAAUAAGCAUCGGCUAACUUCGUGCCAGCAGCCGCGGUAAUACGAAGGAUGCAAGCGUUAUCCGGAAUUAUUGGGUUUAAAGGGUGCGUAGGCGGACUAAUAAGUCAGUGGUGAAAGCCUGCAGCUUAACUGCAGAAUUGCCAUUGAUACUGUUAGUCUUGAGUACAGUUGAGGUAGGCGGAAUGUGUCAUGUAGCGGUGAAAUGCUUAGAUAUGACACAGAACACUGAUUGCGAAGGCAGCUUGCUAAGCUGUAACUGACGCUGAGGCACGAAAGCGUGGGGAGCAAACA